rnacentral:rRNA from 1 species
GACGAACGCUGGCGGCGUGCUUAACACAUGCAAGUCGAACGGAAAGGCCCUGCUUUUGUGGGGUGCUCGAGUGGCGAACGGGUGAGUAACACGUGAGUAACCUGCCCUUGACUUUGGGAUAACUUCAGGAAACUGGGGCUAAUACCGGAUAGGAGCUCCUGCUGCAUGGUGGGGGUUGGAAAGUUUCGGCGGUUGGGGAUGGACUCGCGGCUUAUCAGCUUGUUGGUGGGGUAGUGGCUUACCAAGGCUUUGACGGGUAGCCGGCCUGAGAGGGUGACCGGCCACAUUGGGACUGAGAGACGGCGCAGACUCGUACGGGAGGCAGCAGUGGGGAACAUGGCACAACGGGCGGAAGCCUGAUGCAGCAACGCCGCGUUCGGGAUGACGGCCUGCGGGUUGUGAACCGCUUUCGCCUGUGACGAAGCGUGAGUGACGGUAAUGGGUAAAGAAGCACCGGCUAACUACGUG